rnacentral:rRNA from 1 species
UGGGGAAUGGAAGGCGCACAGCUCUAAGGUAAUCUGGCCCCGCGGUCCGAUUGUNAUUUGUAGAAGGUGCUUCGGGUGCGACCCCGGUCCAAGUCCCUUGGAACAGGGUGUCCUAGAGGGUGAGAAUCCCGUACGCGGCCGAUGGUCAACCCCAUGUGAAGCCCUUUCGACGAGUCGAGUUGUUUGGGAAUGCAGCUCUAAAUGGGUGGUAAAUUUCAUCUAAAGCUAAAUAUCUGUCGAAGACCGAUAGCGCACAAGUAGAGUGAUCGAAAGAUGAAAAGCACUUUGAAAAGAGAGUCAAACAGUACGUGAAAUUGUUGAAAGGGAAGCGCUUGCAACCAGACUCGCUCGCGGGUGUUCAACCGUCCCCAGGGGCGGUGCAUUCUCCCGCGGCCGGGCCAGCAUCGGUUUAGGCGGUCGGAUAAAGGCCCCGGGAAUGUAGCUCUUUUCGGGGAGUGUUAAGCCCGGGGUGCAAUGCGGCCAGCCCGGACCGAGGACCGCGCAUUCGCUAGGAUGCUGGCGUAAUGGUUGCCAGCGACCCGUCUUGAAACACGGACCAAGGAGUCGACCAAUCGUGCGAGUGUUUGGGUGUUAAACCCCGGCGCGCAAUGAAAGUAAACGUAGGUGGGAGCCUUCGGGUGCACCAUCGACCGAUCCUGAUAUCUUUGGAUGGAUUUGAGUAAGAGCCCGACUGGUCGGACCCGAAAGGUAAGAAUUUCUUUCGCCGCGCUUUAUUGAACUUUGUUGCUAACAAUUAUUUUAGAUGGUGAACUAUGCGUGAAUAGGGUGAAGCCAGAGGAAACUCUGGUGGAGGCUCGCAGCGGUUCUGACGUGCAAAUCGAUCGUCAAAUUUGCGCAUAGGGGCGAAAGACCAAUCGAACUAUCUAGUAGCUGGUUCCCGUCGAAGUUUCCCUCAGGAUAGCAGCAACGGAGACAGUCUCAUGAGGUAGAGCAAACGAUUAGAGGUCUUGGGGUUAUUAUUGACCUUAACCUAUUCUCGAACUUCGAAUAUGUGAGAAGUCCUUGUUACUUAGUUGAACGUGGACAUUUGGAUGUAUCGUUGCUAGUGGCCCAUUUUUGGUAACAAGAACUUGGGCAGACCAC